AAACCCGAUCCCAUCUCGAACUCGGCCGUUA
rnacentral:rRNA from 1 species